rnacentral:misc_RNA from 1 species
AGAGACACUAAUUAUUUAAAUUAUAUAUUGAUUAAAAAUGCCUUUUUUUUUUCCUUGUAUAUCUUUCAUUGUUCAUUAUGCGAUUUAAUCAUACAAUAAUCUAACUCAACACCUUGUCAUGAUCGUUUUCUACUUUUGUUUAUAACAUUCAAGAUCUUAUUAUUUCUUAAUCUCAAAUCUCAAUCUACCAGCUGGAAUAGUUUCUUCACUGCA